UAGAUGAUGGGAUCUUUGAUUUCUCUCUUGACUCUGCCCAAAAAAAAAAUGUUUCCCUUAAUUUAUUUUGAUAUGAUCAACCGUUGGUGCGUCAAAUUCAUUUUGUAGGUCAAAUUCUGCAACUUACAGGUGAAGUAGAAGGUGAAUGGCCGAAUCAUCAAUCAUUGGGAGAAAAAAAAAAAUAACAAUUUUAGACUACGAAACCCAACUGUCGUGGACAA